AUUGAACGCUGGCGGCAGGCUUAACACGUGCAAGUCGAGCGGGGUGAUGGUGCUUGCACUAUCACUUAGCGGCGGACGGGUGAGUAAUGCUUAGGAAUCUGCCUAUUAGUGGGGGACAACAUCUCGAAAGGGAUGCUAAUACCGCAUACGUCCUACGGGAGAAAGCAGGGGAUCACUUGUGACCUUGCGCUAAUAGAUGAGCCUAAGUCGGAUUAGCUAGUUGGUGGGGUAAAGGCCUACCAAGGCGACGAUCUGUAGCGGGUCUGAGAGGAUGAUCAGCCACACUGGGACUGAGACACGGCCCAGACUCCUACGGGAGGCAGCAGUGGGGAAUAUUGGACAAUGGGGGGAACCCUGAUCCAGCCAUGCCGCGUGUGUGAAGAAGGCCUUAUGGUUGUAAAGCACUUUAAGCGAGGAGGAGGCUCUUUUGGUUAAUACCCAAGAUGAGUGGACGUUACUCGCAGAAUAAGCACCGGCUAACUCUGUGCCAGCCGCCGCAGUAA
rnacentral:rRNA from 1 species